rnacentral:rRNA from 1 species
CAUCUUACGAGUACAGUUCUGACAGUAAGGGAUGAAGGCUAGGGUCGCGAAAGGGAUUAGAUACCCCUGUAGUCCUAGCAGUAAACACUGCACACUAAACAUCGGUACCUCCUCGAGAGGCAUCGGUGCUGUAGCGAAGGCGUAGAGUGUGCUACCUGGGAAGUAUAGUCGCAAGGCCGAAACUUAAAGGAAUUGGCGGGGGGGCACUACAACGGGUGACGCGUGCGGUUCAAUUAGAUUCUACACUGUGAACCUCACCAGGAGCGACAGCAGGAUGAAGGUCAGUCUGAAGGGCUUACCUGACACGCUGAGAGGAGUUGCAUGGCCGACGUCAGCCUGUGCCGUGAGGUGACUUGUUAAAUCAAGUAACAGGCGAGACCCAUGUGUAUACUUACUUUUUUGAAGAACAGUAUACAGACUGCCGUGGUAACACGGAGGAAGGUAUGGGCUACGUUAGGUCAGUAUGGCCCGAAUCCCCUGGGCUACACGCGCGCGGCAAUGCUGCAUUCAAUGGGAUGCAACUCUGAAAAGAGAAGCUAAUCCUAAAUAUCCAGCUUAGUUCAGAUCGAGGCUUGUAACCCAGCCUCGUGACGCUGGAAUCCGUAGUAAUCGUUCUUUAUCAGAGAACGGUGAAUAUGUCAAUGCCCCUUGCACACACCGAAAUAAAUGUGCCAAGCAGUAUACAAAGCUAGAAAGUGGAAAUCUUUCUUUAUAGGCAAAAAGGCAGGCGCUAUCAGUAAUGAUAUCGCUGA